GACGAACGCUGGCGGCGUGCUUAACACAUGCAAGUCGAACGAAGUGGCGAACGGGUGAGUAAUACGUGGGUAACCUGCCCUCCUUUUUGGGAUAAGCCUUGGAAACGGGGUCUAAUACCGAAUAAAGGGGGAUGGGCUCGCGGCCUAUCAGGUUGUUGGUGGGGUGAUGGCAUACCAAGGCGGUGAGGGGUAGCCGGCCUGAGAGGGGGACCGGCCACAUGGGGACUGGGAUACGGCCAAGACUCCUACGGGAGGCAGCAGUGGGGGAUAUGGCACAAUGGGGGAAAGCCUGAUGCGGCGACGCCGCGUGGGGGAUUAAGUCUUUGGGGUUGUAAACCUCUUUCGCAAUGGAACGGGUAGGUGGAGAAGAAGCGCCGGCUAACUACGUGCCAGCAGCCGCGGUAAUUC
rnacentral:rRNA from 1 species